rnacentral:rRNA from 1 species
GACGAACGCUGGCGGCGUGCUUAACACAUGCAAGUCGAACGGAAAGUCCCUGCUUGCAGGGUCCUCGAGUGGCGAACGGGUGAGUAACACCUGGGUGAUCUGCCCUGCACUUCGUGAUAAGCCUGGGAAACUGGGUCUAAUACCGGAUAGGAGCUAUUUUUAGUGUGAUUGUUGGAAAGUUUUUUCGGUGUAGGAUGAGCUUGGGGCCUAUCAGCUUGUUGGUGCGGUAAUGGCCUACCAAGGCGGCGACGGGUAGCCGGCCUGAGAGGGUGGACGGCCAUAUUGAGACUGAGAUACGGCCCAGGCUCAGACGGGAGGCAGAAGUGGGGAAGAUUGAACAAUGGGAGCAAGCCUGAUGCAGAGACGCCGCGUGGGGGAUGACGGCCUUCGGGUUGUAAACGCAUUUCGCUAGGAACGAAGCUUUUUGUGACGGUACCUAGAUAAGAAGCACCGGCUAACUACGUG